rnacentral:rRNA from 1 species
UGGGGAGUACGGCCGCAAGGUUAAAACUCAAAUGAAUUGACGGGGGCCCGCACAAGCGGUGGAGCAUGUGGUUUAAUUCGAUGCAACGCGAAGAACCUUACCUACUCUUGACAUCCAGAGAAUUUAGCAGAGAUGCUUUAGUGCCUUCGGGAACUCUGAGACAGGUGCUGCAUGGCUGUCGUCAGCUCGUGUUGUGAAAUGUUGGGUUAAGUCCCGCAACGAGCGCAACCCUUAUCCUUUGUUGCCAGCGAUUCGGUCGGGAACUCAAAGGAGACUGCCGGUGAUAAACCGGAGGAAGGUGGGGAUGACGUCAAGUCAUCAUGGCCCUUACGAGUAGGGCUACACACGUGCUACAAUGGCGUAUACAAAGAGAAGCGACCCCGCGAGAGCAAGCGGAACUCAUAAAGUACGUCGUAGUCCGGAUUGGAGUCUGCAACUCGACUCCAUGAAGUCGGAAUCGCUAGUAAUCGUAGAUCAGAAUGCUACGGUGAAUACGUUCCCCGGCCUUGUACACACCGCCCGUCACACCAUGGGAGUGGGUUGCAAAAGAAGUAGGUAGCUUAACCUUCGGGAGGGCGCUUACCACUUUGUGAUUCAUGACUGGGGUGAAGUCGUAAACAAGGUAGCCGUAAG